rnacentral:rRNA from 1 species
UCAAGCGAAUAUAGGUUUAUGGUGGAUGCCUAGGAGCUGUAAGACGAAGAAGGACGUGAUAAGCUGCGAUAAGCCGGGGUUAGGAGCACAUAUCCGCAAACCCCCGGAUUUCCGAAUGGAGUAAUCCGGUGUAAUACACCAUCUCGAUAUCUGAAUAUAUAGGAUAGAGAAGUCAAACUGAGUGAAGUGAACCAUCUAAGUAACUCGGGAACAGAAAUCAAAAGAGAUUCCCCCAGUAGCGGUGAGCGAAGAGGGAAGAGCCCAAACCGCGUAAAGCGGGGUUGUAGGACUGCGAUAUGGAGUAGGCAGUAAAUCAGUUUGUAGGAGAAGCUUCUGGGAAGGAGCGUCAAAGAGAGUGAAAGCCUCGUAUCCGAAACGAACUGACUCCUAGCAGAAUCCUGAGUAUGGCGGGGCACGUGAAACCCUGUCAGAAUCCGGGUCGACCACGAUCCAAGGCUAAAUACUAGACAGCUACCGAUAGUGAACAAGUACCGUGAGGGAAAGGCGAAAAGAACCCCUGUAAGGGGAGUGAAAUAGAACCUGAAACCAUAAACUGACAAGAUGUCACAGCCCGCAAGGGUAGUGGCGUGUCUUUUGUAGAAUAAACCUGCGAGUUGCGUUAUGCAGCGAGGAUAAGAAAUAGAAGUUUUGGAUCCGAAGCGAAAGCGAGUCUGAAAAGGGCGAUAAGUUGCAUGACGCAGACCCGAAGCCAAGGUGAUCUAGUCAUGAGCAGGUUGAAGCAGGGGUAAAACCCUGUGGAGGACCGAACAGUAAUCUGUUAAAAAAGGUAGUGAUGACUUGUGACUAGGAGUGAAAGGCUAAACAAACCUGGAAAUAGCUGGCUCUCCCCGAAAUGCCUUUAGGGACAGCCUCAUAAAAAGUUACCGGAGGUAAAGCACUGGAUGGAAAAGGGGGAGUUAAAUCUUUCCGAUUUCAAUCAAACUCUGAAUGCCGGUAACCAGCUUAUGGGAGUGAGACUGCGUGCGCCAAGGUUCGUAGUCGAAAGGGAAACAGCCCAAACCGGCAAUUAAGGUCCCAAAUUUAUGCUAAGUGUUAAAUGAAGUGAAGAUGCACAGACAGCCAGGAGGUUGGCUUAGAAGCAGCCAUUCCUUAAAAGAGUGCGUAACAGCUCACUGGUCGAGCAUUUUUGCGCAGACAAUGUAACGGGGCUAAGCAUAAAACCGAAAUUCCGGAUUCAUGACAGAAGUUAUGAGUGGUAGGGGAGCAUUGAAUUAACUGACGAAGGAAUACCUGUGAGGGGUUCUGGAGGAGAUUCAAGAGAGAAUGCAGGCAUAAGUAACGAAAAAGCGGGUGCGAUCCCCGCUCGCCGAAAACCUAAGGUUUCCAGGGUAAAGGCAAUCUGCCCUGGGUAAGUCGGCCCCUAAGACGAGGACGAAAGUCGUAGCCGAUGGGAAACUGGUUUAUAAUCCAGUACUUAUUGAGUUUUGAUGGAAUGACGCAUGAGGUGAAAUCCGGCCGGGCGACGGUAGUCCCGGUCAAAGCAGCGAGUUUAUGAGGUUCUGGUUAAAAGAAGAACUGAGAUGAGCUGUGACAGCGAGGAACCAGAAAGUGGGACUGAAGCGGACGUAAUCAUGGUGACGAGAAAUAGUUCCUAAGUAAGGCUUAGUAAACCGUACCGGAAACCGACACAGGUAGGUAGGAUGAGUAAUCUAAGGCGCUCGAGCGAACUCGCGUUAAGGAACUCGGCAAAAUGCGCACGUAACUUCGGAAGAAGUGCGGCUCCCUUUAGAAAUACAGGGAGUGACACAAAGCAGGCCCAGGCGACUGUUUAUCAAAAACACAGCCAUCUGCGAACCAGCAAUGGGACGUAUAGGUGGUGACACCUGCCCGGUACUGGAAGGUUAAGAGGAGAUGUUAUCCGCAAGGAGAAGCAUUGAAUCGAAGCCCCAGCAAACGGCGGCCGUAACUAUAACGGUCCUAAGGUAGCGAAAUUCCUUGUCGGGU